UACAGAGGUCCCAAGCGUUGUUCGGAUUCAUUGGGCGUAAAGGGCGCGUAGGCGGCCUGUUAAGUCGAACGUGAAAUCCCCGGGCUCAACCCGGGAACUGCGUCCGAUACUGGCAGGCUUGAAUCCGGGAGAGGGAUGCGGAAUUCCAGGUGUAGCGGUGAAAUGCGUAGAUAUCUGGAGGAACACCGGUGGCGAAGGCGGCAUCCUGGACCGGCACUGACGCUGAGGAGCGAAAGCCAGGGGAGCAAACGGG
rnacentral:rRNA from 1 species